GAUUUAGGCAUGCAAGUCGAACGGGAACCUUGGGUGUAGCAAUACAUCCGGGGGGAUAGUGGCGUAAGGGUGAGUAACACGUGGGCAAUCUGCCUUCAAGUUGGGGAUAACCUGGCGAAAGCCGGGCUAAUACCGAAUGUGGUCGCUCGACGCGAGUUGGGACGACUAAAGGCGGGGUCUCGCAAGGGACCUGUCGCUUGGAGAUGGGCCCGCGUCCUAUCAGCUUGUUGGUGAGGUAACGGCUCACCAAGGCUAUAACGGGUAGCUGGUCUGAGAGGAUGGUCAGCCACAUUGGGACUGAGAUACUGCCCAGACUCCUACGGGAGGCUGCAGUCGAGGAUCAUUCGCAAUGCCCGAAAGGAAUC
rnacentral:rRNA from 1 species